rnacentral:rRNA from 1 species
CCUACGGGUGGCAGCAGUGAGGAAUAUUGGUCAAUGGACGAGAGUCUGAACCAGCAAAGUAGCGUGAAGGAUGACUGCCCUAUGGGUUGUAAACUUCUUUUCUAAAGGCAUAAAACGAGUCACGUGUGCCUUUUUGCAUUUACUUUAUGAUUCAGGAUCGGCUAACUCCGUGCCCGCAGCCGCGGUAAUACGGAGGAUCCGAGCGUUAUCCGAAUGUAUUGGGUUUAAAGGGAGAGUAGAUGGGUUGUUAAGUCAGUUGUGAAAGUUUGCGGAUCAACCGUAAAAUUGCAAUUGAUACUGGCAGUCUUGAGUACAGUUGAGGUAGGCGGAAUUCGUGGUGUAGCGGUGAAAUGCUUAGAUAUCACGAAGAACCCCGAUUGCGAAGGCAGCUUACUAAACUGUGACUGACAUUGAUGCUCGAAAGUGUGGGUAUCAAACAGGAUUAGAUACCCGUGUAGUC